GCCGGUGUAGCUCAAUUGGCAGAGCACUCGCCUUGUAAGCGAAAGGUUAGGGGUUCGAUUCCCCUCACCGGCU
rnacentral:tRNA from 1 species